rnacentral:rRNA from 1 species
AAUGCAAAUGGAAUGGCCCGUUAGCUAAAGGCGGAAGAGAUAAUUCCGGAAAGCAUUUAAGCACAAAAUUUGCCCCGGGAUGAGUCCUCCUUGACUCCUGGAGAGUCCUGAAGGAACUUGGAAGACGACGAGGUUGAUAGCCCGGGGUGUUAAGCGCAGCGAGGCUUUGGGCAAACCGGUAUUAAUGAACCGGGAGGCUUAACCUU